UACGAAGGGGGCUAGCGUUGCUCGGAAUCACUGGGCGUAAAGCGCACGUAGGCGGCUUUUUAAGUCAGAGGUGAAAUCCUGGAGCUCAACUCCAGAACUGCCUUUGAUACUGAGAAGCUUGAGUCCGGGAGAGGUGAGUGGAACUGCGAGUGUAGAGGUGAAAUUCGUAGAUAUUCGCAAGAACACCAAUUGCGAAGGCAGCUAACGAAACUGUAACUGACGCUGAGGCUCGAAAGUGCGGGGAUCAAACAGG
rnacentral:rRNA from 1 species